rnacentral:lncRNA from 1 species
UAUUAUUAGAUCAGAGAGCUCAGACUCAGAUCGCUCUGUUUUCUUUUGUGUCUGAAUUGAGUUUAAAUCUGUGAAUAAAUCUACACUUACACAACAAUACAGAGCUAGUAAAUUCAAAAUCAAGAAUAUAUAAGGGAUUAAAAAAGAAAAAGAAGAAAAAAUGGCAGCUGGGGUUACAAGGAAAAUUUCAGCAGCUUCAGCCAGAGCUCACACUCUUAAAGCUAAACAAAAAACUUCUUUUCCUUUUUCUUCAGGUGGCUAUUACAUUUUUCUUUUUCCUCUUUUUUUUUUUUGAUAAUAUGAAUUUUCAAAUGUAUCAUAUGUAGAAUAUAUAGUGAUGAAAAACUGAAUUUUGAUUAUGUAAAGUUCAUAACUUUGUUAUAUUUGGUGGAGAAAGUUUUGAUUUGGAUUCUGAUUUUGAGUUUCUCUCUUUGGGGUAGAAUUUUCAGUUUAAUCAUUUGUUUUUAGCUUAACUGUCAAAUUAUAUUGAUUCUAAAAAUAUACAAUGUAUUCCUAUGGUAAUAGUAUGGACUCCUACUACUCAUUUACACUUCCA